rnacentral:misc_RNA from 1 species
AAGUCGUAACAAGGUUUCCGUAGGUGAACCUGCGGAAGGAUCAUCAGAAAUAUGAAGGAUAGCGGGGCAACCCGCGAUUCCUUUUUUCUUUUCUGUGAACUGGAGGCUGUGCGCCGUUAUUUAUUGCGUUUGAUUUGGCGUUGGUUAAGCCCUCUGAAGUUUGCCUGGCACGGAAUCGGUUCGCGUCUGCCUUUUUUUGGCAGGCGCGGUUCGGCCGUUACCGGUCUACUUUCAAGGGUCAAUCAAGUCAAAAAAGACAGCAAAGAAGAAUGGAGCCGGCCUAUCUUUUUUGUUUCUGUUCAUUUAUUCCACACGUCUCGAUAUUGCUUGGUGGAUUCAUUUCUACUAGGCAAUUGACGGACUGUUAACCAAGACAACUUUCAGCAAUGGAUCUCUUGGCUCUU